AGAAUAUAAGAUGUUAACGGUGCCAUAACCCUAUCCUUAGGGCGAUUGGUGAAAAGGGAACUAGGUGCAAAUCCUAGACAGUACCCGCUGCUGUAAGCUCCAAAUAGCUUAGUUAAUCUAUCAAAAUACCACUUAGAGCAUAGUGUCUCUUGGGAAGGUGUGCGAAAGUUGGAGUAAGUCAGAAGACCUGCCGAUAACUGCUUUAAUGG
rnacentral:ncRNA from 2 species